rnacentral:tRNA from 1 species
GAGGCUGUGGUUCAAUGGUAGAACAUCUGCCUUUGCAUGCAAAAGGUCCCAGGUUUGAUUCCCAACAUCCACA